rnacentral:misc_RNA from 1 species
GAAAUGCGAUAAGUAAUGUGAAUUGCAGAAUUCAGUGAAUCAUCGAAUCUUUGAACGCACAUUGCGCCCGCCAGUAUUCUGGCGGGCAUGCCUGUUCGAGCGUCAUUACAACCCUCAGGCCCCCGGGCCUGGCGUUGGGGAUCGGCGGAAGCCCCCUGCGGGCACAACGCCGUCCCCCAAAUACAGUGGCGGUCCCGCCGCAGCUUCCAUUGCGUAGUAGCUAACACCUCGCAACUGGAGAGCGGCGCGGCCACGCCGUAAAACACCCAACUUCUGAAUGUUGACCUCGAAUCAGGUAGGAAUACCCGCUGAACUUUAGC